CCUACGGGUGGCAGCAGUGAGGAAUAUUGGUCAAUGGCCGGAAGGCUGAACCAGCCAAGUCGCGUGAGGGAAUAAGGCCCUAUGGGUCGUAAACCUCUUUUGUCAGGGAGCAAAGGCGUCCACGUGUGGACGAGAGGAGAGUACCUGAAGAAAAAGCAUCGGCUAACUCCGUGCCAGCAGCCGCGGUAAUACGGAGGAUGCGAGCGUUAUCCGGAUUUAUUGGGUUUAAAGGGUGCGUAGGCGGAGUGUCAAGUCAGCGGUAAAAUUUCGGGGCUCAACCCCGACGAGCCGUUGAAACUGGCUUGCUAGAGUGGGCGAGAAGUAUGCGGAAUGCGUGGUGUAGCGGUGAAGUGCAUAGAUAUCACGCAGAACUCCGAUUGCGAAGGCAGCAUACCGGCGCCCAACUGACGCUCAGGCACGAAAGCGUGGGUAUCGAACAGGAUUAGAUACCCGGGUAGUC
rnacentral:rRNA from 1 species